rnacentral:rRNA from 1 species
UUAAUAUUUUUUAAAUUUUUAUAAAUAAUUUUUUUUUUUUUGUUAUUUUAAUUAAAUUUAUUUAGUAUAAUAUAAAAAUAUAAUGUUUAAGUAAUAAAUAAAAAUUAAUUUUUUAAAAUUUAAAAUUAGUAAUGAAAGUGAUUAUUUUUAAUAAUUAUUAAGUAAAUUUUAUUUAUUGUACCUUUUGUAUCAGGGUUGAUUAAUAAAAAUAUUUUUAUUUAAAUAAAUCUCGAAUUUAAAAGAUUUAAUUAAAAAUUUUAGUUAUUGUUGAAUUAAUAUUAUUAAUUUUUGAUUGGUAGUGAAAUGUUAAACGAUUUUAAAUAUAUCUAGUUUUUUAAGAAUUGAAUUUAAAUUCAGCUUUAAAAUUUUUAUUUAAUUAAUUUAUUAAAUUAAUUAUAAUUUUAAUGUAAAUAUAUUAGGGAUAAACUUAAUAUAUAAUUUAUAAUUAUUUUUUUUAAUUAUUUAUAAGUAUUUAUAAAAUUUAAUGUCUUUUUAAAAAAUUUUAUAAUUUAUAUAGUUUAUUUAUUUAAAUUUUAAAAAUUAAAUUUAAUUAAAUUUAUUAAAAAUAUUUAUUUAAUAUUUAUUUAUUUAAUAAAAUGAUUAUAUUAGUAAAUAAUAUUUAUUGUUUAAAUAUUAAUUUUUAAUUAACUUAUUUUAAGGAAUUAGACAAAAAAAUUAGAUAGAUUAAAUUAUAUAUUUACCUGUUUAUCAAAAACAUGUCUUAUUGGGUGUAUAAUAAGUCUAUUCUGCCCAUUGAAUAUAAUAUUUUAAAGGCUGCAGUAUAUUGACUGUACAAAGGUAGCAAAAUCAAUAGUUUUUUAAUUGAAAACUUGUAUGAAAGAAUUAAUAAAAUAUAUAUUGUCUCAAAUUAAUAAUAUUAAAUUUAAAUAAAAAGUAAAAAUGCUUUUAUUUUUUUAUUAGACGAGAAGACCCUAAGAAUUUAAUAAUUUAUUUAAUUAAUUAUAUUUAUAAAUAAAUUUGAUUAAUUUAAUUAUUUUACUGGGAGGGUAAUUAAAAAUUUUUAACUUUAAUUUAAAUUUAACUUUGAUUAAUGAUUUAUUUGAUAAUUUUUAUAAUUAUAAGAUUUAAUUACCUUAGGGAUAACAGCGUAAUAAUUUUGGAGAGUUCAUAUUGAUAGAAUUGUUUGCGACCUCGAUGUUGAAUUAAAAUAAAAAUUAAAUGGAGAUAUUUAAAAUUUUAGUCUGUUCGACUAUUAAAAUUUUACAUGAUUUGAGUUCAGAUCGGUGUGAGCCAGAUCGGAUUUUAUCUAUAAAUAAUUGUAUAUUUUAUUGUACGAAAGGACUUAAAAUAUAAAAUAAUUUUUUUUUUAUGAUUUUUAUUAAUAAUAUAUUUAUAUAUAUAUAUAUAUAUAUAUAGAUUAAUUAAUUUUAAAAUUUUUUUAAAUUUGAAUUUUAUAAUCUAUA